rnacentral:rRNA from 1 species
AUUGAACGCUGGCGGCAGGCUUAACACAUGCAAGUCGAGCGAGCGGCGGACGGGUGAGUAAUGUCUGAGAAACUGCCUGAUGGAGGGGGAUAACUACUGGCAACGGUAGCUACUACUGCAUACCACCAGAUGUGUCCCGAUGGGAUUAGCUAGUCGGUGGGGUAAUGGGGCACCUAGGCGACGAUGCCUAGCUGGUCUGAGGGGAUGACCAGCCACAGUGGCACUGAGCUACGGUCCAGACUCCUACGGGAGGCAGCAGUGGGGAAUAUUGGGCAAUGGGCGCAAGCCUGAUGCAGCCAUGCCGCGUGUGUGAAGAGGGCCUUCGGGUUGUAAAGCACUUUCAUCAAGGAGGCGUUACUCGCAGAAGAAGCACCGGCUAACUCCGUGCCAGCAGCCGCGGUAAUAC